GAUGAACGCUAGCGGCAGGCCUAACACAUGCAAGUCGAGGGAGGAGCUUUCGGGCUUCGACCGGCGUACGGGUGCGUAACGCGUAUACAAUCUGCCUUUCACAUAGGGAUAGCCCGAAGAAAUUUGGAUUAAUACCUAAUGGUAUAUAGGAGUGGCAUCACAUUUAUAUUAAAGCUGAGGCGGUGAAAGAUGAGUAUGCGUUCUAUUAGCUAGUUGGAGAGGUAACGGCUCCCCAAGGCGACGAUAGAUAGGGGUUCUGAGAGGGAUAUCCCCCACACUGGUACUGAGAUACGGACCAGACUCCUACGGGAGGCAGCAGUGAGGAAUAUUGGACAAUGGUCGGAAGACUGAUCCAGCCAUGCCGCGUGCAGGAAGACGGCCUUAUGGGUUGUAAACUGCUUUUGCAGGGGAAGAAUAAGGAGUACGUGUACUUUGAUGACGGUACUCUGCGAAUAAGCAUCGGCUAACUCCGUGCCAGCAGCCGCGGUAAUACGGAGGAUGCGAGCGUUAUCCGGAAUCAUUGGGUUUAAAGGGUCCGUAGGCGGGCUAAUAAGUCAGAGGUGAAAGCGCUCAGCUCAACUGAGCAACUGCCUUUGAAACUGUUAGUCUUGAAUGGUUGUGAAGUAGUUGGAAUGUGUAGUGUAGCGGUGAAAUGCUUAGAUAUUACACAGAACACCGAUAGCGAAGGCAUAUUACUAACAAUUAAUUGACGCUGAUGGACGAAAGCGUGGGGAGCGAACAGG
rnacentral:rRNA from 1 species